GACGAACGCCGGCGGCGUGCCUAAGACAUGCAAGUCGAGCGGGGAGACUUCGGUCUCCCAGCGGCGGACGGGUGAGUAACGCGUGGGCAACCUGCCCUUACAGCCCGGGAUAACUGCCUGAAAGGGCGGCUAAUACCGGAUGCGGUGAAACGGACGCAUGUUGGUUUCACGAAAAUUACGGUGCUGAAGGAUGGGCCCGCGUCCCAUUAGCUGGUUGGUGAGGUAACGGCCCACCAAGGCGACGAUGGGUAGCCGGCCUGAGAGGGUGGACGGCCACACUGGGACUGAGACACGGCCCAGACUCCUACGGGAGGCAGCAGUCGGGAAUCUUCACAAUGGGCGAAAAGCCUGAUGGAGCGACGCCGCGGUCGAGGGGAAGAAGGUCGUUCGGAAUCGGUAAACCUCUGUCCUUCCAGGGACGAUAAUGACGGUACCUGGAGGAGGAAGCCACGGGCUAAACUACGUCGCCAAGCAGCCGACGGUAAUAGUCAACGUCG
rnacentral:rRNA from 1 species